UGGCUGCCAGUCUUUAAAUUGACCCAACUC
rnacentral:piRNA from 1 species